ACGGGUGAGUAACGCGUGGGUAACCUGCCUUAUACAGGGGGAGUAACAGUCAGAAAUGGCUGCUAAUACCGCAUAAGCGCACAGAGCUGCAUGGCUCAGUGUGAAAAACUCCGGUGGUAUAAGAUGGACCCGCGUUGGAUUAGCUGGUUGGUGGGGUAACGGCCCACCAAGGCGACGAUCCAUAGCCGGCCUGAGAGGGUGAACGGCCACAUUGGGACUGAGACACGGCCCAGACUCCUACGGGAGGCAGCAUG
rnacentral:rRNA from 1 species